CGGCUACCGUGCGGCGCGGAGCUGGGGACACGUGGAAUCUCUUUCUGGAUGCUCGACUGGUCACCAGAUGGCCAGAGUCAGCUUUGUCGCUGUUUGGGGAGCUGCACCGGUGGGGUGUUGUCCAGGGACCCUAACUUGGUGCAGCCGGGACGGCCUUGCAGACGGACUUCGGCCUCAUGGACACCUUCCUGGAUUUCCUGGUUUACCACAGAACCAGUGUCUUAGCACUGACCGGCCCUCACUACACUUGCCUUUCCUGAGACACACAAACUCGGCUGCCUUUUUGUCAACUUGACUGGCGUCGGGGAAUGGCAAAGAAGGUGCGCUCUGACCGGGACGCCGCUGCCUGCUUUCAGAUGCCGGUUUGAAGACACGUGGGGAGCGGACAGUGUGGAGAGGCACUCACUGCUAGUUAAGCCGCAGCUCACGGCCUGGAGACGGGCGUACUGUGCACGGAGACCUUUGCCGAGGCCCCUGCAGCUCAUCGCUGUGUCGCAAGCCUGUAUUUUCAGUUUUGGUGUUUAGCCUACGGUCGCACUCCUUUCUGAUGUUGCUGAACAGCCGCAGGUUUGCUGUAAUAAUGAGAAGAUUCUCGCUCUUGUUACUGUCGCCUCUUCCUCAGUGCCCUUCCGGUGAGUUCCUGAGCUUGGGCUGCAGGGGCCACAAGGUGGCUGCUGCCCUUGGUCAGACCCUUGGUCAGCGAGCGCCCGUUCCCGGGAGUAGUUGACCUUGAGUCGUGACGUCAGUGCGGCUUCUGCAGCGCCCCCCCACUGCCCCCCGUGGUGCCUGUCACCCAGGCCGCAGCGGUCCUCAUCAUGGGUGAACGUGGGUCCCUCGCCCUUUCUCUGGCUCGCUCUGCGUCUCCUCCCUCUCUGUGAUGUCACCUGCGCCCUCCCCCGCUGGCCUUUUCCCCCCAGUGUGUCACAGUGUGCCCCUCCUCUGACCUUUGCCCCCUCCAGCCAUGGCCCACUACAGCUCCUGCUCGAUCACAUUCGUUCUCGUUGCCCCCAAAUCACUUUUUGGGUGACGGCUUCCCUGUCCGCACGUGCAGUCUCUUUCCCGCUCGGCCAACUCGCAGAUUCAACCCCCGCCUGCUGUGCUCCGUCGUCCCGCGGCCUCCGAGCCUGUGCAGCACUGACCUCUCCGCCCCCCAGAAGGGGCUCCCCAGGGCGGGCCCCUCACAUACCUCCCUGUGUCUCUCGAUUCUGAUUCCUUCUUUCUGUCCCGAUUCCAAGGCCUUACUGUUUUCCUGCAGAAUUCCCUCUUCCCUUCCUCAAACUGAUUCCAGUCUCCUCUGAUACGGAAUCUGUUCAUGACUCUGCUCCAAAACCUCUUCUCUGCAACACACCUCCUACCACUCUGUCCCUGCCUGAAAUCCUGCGGUGCUUCCCGCCGCAUUGAGGACGCGCCCACGCUUCUCAGCCUGGCAGAUGGGAGGCGUUCCGUGUCUGGGCCCCGUGGCUUGGAGCUGAGACCGGGAGCACUCCACGCCGCCGCUCACACCGCCCUGGCUCCGAGUCUCGGCCCCCUUCCCCACACCCACGCUGACACUUCAGGCCAGAGGUCUCUCCUGCCGCAUCUCUUCCUCAUCCUCUCCUCUGGCGUGGACGCACUUCCUGGCCCGAGUUCCUCCCGCGCACCAGCCAGUCCCACCACAGGGGUCUGUGCCCACCUCCCCGCCCUGCCGCACGUGGUGCACCUGUGGUCUGCACCUGAUAAAAGCGUGUCGGGUGAGACUGUCUGACGUCCGAUUUACUUCACAGAUGAUCGCCGUUGUCCACGGUUGCAGUACAUGUUACAGAUUAGGUGAUGCAAAAUAGGGUGACUCUGGAAAGGGCCACAACCCUGUGCACACGGAGCUGGAGGGAAGGGGAAGCGGGCCAGGUGUGUGCUGGUGGCACCCGCAGGAGAGCCUUUUCACCGUGGUAUCUAUACCGGCUGCUUCGGGUCAGGCCCGGCUUCAGCGGCGAAGGGUACCGUCCCCCACACUGCCCUCGUUUCAGCUCCGGCUGCAAGCUUGGGGACUCCCAGGCUCCCCUCACGUCCGACCAGCUCGUCCAUCACAAAUGCGGGGGGAUUGAGGACCAACUGGGGCUGCGCACGGCACUCGGGCACGCUCUGCGCAGCUUACGGUUUUCCUAGAGCAGCAGAGGUGCACACCAGGACCAGCCAGAGAGGACACUCGUGGAGGGAGGUCUGGAGGGUCCCCGGUGGGUUGGUGCUGCAAGCUCUCCCCUGUGGGGCCAGAACUCGCUCCCCGCACGCAGACCGACGCGACAGGGCAUUGCAGAACUGCUAACCUGGGGGCUCGCCUGAGCCUCCGUGCAGUUUCAUUGGGGGCUCCCAUAGAGGCAUGAUGGGCAGCUGGCCAUGAGCUGCACUCCACCUUCCCAUCCCACUCCAGAGGUGGCGCUGAAAGCCCCACGCUCCCAAUUCCCUGGCUGGUCUUCCGGCAUGGCCAGCCGUGGCUCUGAGUCACUGGUUCACGGGAACUGUGAGAGCCCACAGUGAGUGACAGACGAGUCACGGGGGGUUCCCGGGAUGGGGAGGCUGCCCUGCAGGAAGCUGGGGGAAAGGCCACCCACGUUCUUUAUCCAAGUCACAGGCCGUCUAAAACAGCCUGGCCGCCAGAAUGCAAAUCAUGUUGAUAGUCCAGAAUUGGUGUGCAUGUGUCUGUUCUUACCAAGAAAGGACUGUGAGCCCUGGCCGGCGUGGCUCCGCUGGUCGGAGUGUCGCCCCAUCACCCAAAGGUUGCGGGUUCAGUCCCCAGUCUGAGCUUGUAUGAUGCCCGGUCUGGGGGCAUACAGGAAGGAACCCACGGAUGCCUCUUUCCCACACAGCUGUUUCUCGCUCUCUCCCUCUAAAAGCAAUGAAAAAAUGUCCUCAAGUGAGGAUUAAAAAAAAGAAAGGAUGGUGAUUCAAAGGAAAUGAAAACAGGACAUUGAGGGAUUCGCCCUCCCAUGCAUGCUCGUUGCAGUGUCAUCCACAGCAGCCCAGGCGUGGAAACGGCCCCAGGGGUCCAUCAGCAGGCGGGUGGGGGAGGAAGGCGCACUGGCUCGUGCUCCCCGCUGCGGGAUAAGGGACCCCUGCCGCAUGCAGCAGCCGGGCAGACCGAAGGGGAGGACAAGUGCUGAGUGCUGUCCCCACGUGUGGGAUCCGAGAGGUCGGAUGCGUACAAACAGAAGAAUGAUCACCAGGAGCGGGGCAGGGGACCGUGGGAAGGUCGGUGAGAGGGCGCAGAGUUUCGGUUGUGAAGCGAAUGAAGCUGAGGACCUAACGGGUGAUGUGACUGUAGCUAACAACACUGUGCGGGAUCAUUGCAAUGGGCUAAGAGGAUAAACUCAAAUGUUCUCUCCAAAACAGGAAGAAAGAGACCCGCGACUCCUGUGCCGAUGGAGCCUGGGUGGCACUUCAGUACCAAAUCGACUGCGUGACUUUGCACUUGGCAAAGUCUGCUAGAGGCUGUCCAGACAGGAGAAGUGUACCAGAGUUAGGGAAUACUUCCGAGAGAAAAGAGUCAAAAUAUGUAUGUCUGACCAAGGAUUCGUAUCUGAAUAAUUGAGUCCCACUUAUAGGCAAAACUCCCUUUUCUCCUUUACUCUGGCGUGGCUGCCUGGUACUCCUGACCCCACAUGUGCGGGGCUUCCCACAGUGGCCGUGUGUCCGACACUUCGCUGCACGGGUCACGGCUCAGCCAUGUGUUUUCCAGCACCGAGCAUUUCUUCCAGUCUCAGUAGAUACCAGUGGGGUGUCCUAUGGCUUAGCUCGGUCCUGACGCUGCCUUCCUGGGAAUGGGGUCAGGCCACAGGUUAAGGGCUCAGACCCAGGAGAGCGCCCCCUCCAGAGGUCAGGGGCGAGUCCAGGUUGUGCUUCUGAUGGGAUCAGAGGCUCCCAGCAUCCUGUUUGGGUUUGGUCACUAGAGUAUAGGACUCAGAGAAACACGCUCCUUAACUAAAUCACUGCUCAGCGAGAAGGGGUAUCACUCGAGAACACCCAGAUGGAAGGCGCAUGUGGGGCGCAGGGGACGGGAGGGGGCCCGGGGGCAGGAA